GACGAACCGUGCGAACGUUGUUCGGAAUUACUGGGCGUAAAGGGCUCGUAGGCGGCCAACUAAGUCAGACGUGAAAUCCCCAGGCUCAACCUGGGAACUGCGUCUGAUACUGGAUGGCUUGAAUCCGGGAGAGGGAUGCAGAAUUCCAGGUGUAGCGGUGAAAUGCGUAGAUAUCUGGAGGAAUACCGGUGGCGAAGGCGGCAUCCUGGACCGGCAUUGACGCUGAGGAGCGAAAGCCAGGGGAGCAAACGGG
rnacentral:rRNA from 1 species